rnacentral:lncRNA from 1 species
UAACUUAUUUACUGUUAUUUUCUAUAUUCCAUAUAUAAUCCUAACAAUCACAUAAAAAUUCUAACAAAUUAUAUAUAAUCUUAACAACUUUUAAAUCCUAAUAAUUUAUCUAUAUAAUUUCAUAUAAUCUUAACUGCUUUUAUAUAAAAUUAUAUGGAUAAAUUAUUAGGAUUUAAAAGUUGUUAAGAUUAUAUGAGAUAUAGAAAGAAACAGUAAAUAAGUGAAAGGCGGUGAAUGAUUUACCGUUUUUAAAAGAAAUGGGAGAAAGCGGUGAACGAUUCACCGCCUUUAAAAGAAAUAAGAGAAAACGGCGAACGAUUCACCGUCUUUAUAAGAAAAUCCUGACGUGGUGCCUACGUGGCGAAAGGAGGGUUAGUUUUAUAAAUAAAAUUUUCAUAUGGUUAUUUUGCCAAUUACAAUUUUUUAUAGGGUUAUUUUAUAAAAAAGCCCAAAUGUGUGCGUGAGAGAGGAUUAUAUUAUAUAUAUUAGGGAAAACUUCAAAAACCCCAUUGUAGUUUCGCACAUUCUCACUUUAUUAUCCUAUAGUUUAAAGUGUAUCAAUUUGAUGCCCUAUAGUUUUAUUUUUCUCUUUUUAUUACCAAUUUCACUAUUUUUUUAAAAAAUCAGUGACAAAGUUAAAAUUAAAGGGUACUAAAGUGAAUAUUUGAUAAAUCUAGGUGGGUAUUUGAAGUUGUUUGUAUAUAAUUUAACGAAAUAUUAAUGAAAAAGCUACCGAAAAGAUAAAAAUGAAACUAUAGAGCACCAAAUUAAUACACUUUAACCUAUAAGGUACUAAAGUGAGAAAGUAUGAAACUAUAGGGGUUUUUUUUGAAGUUU